rnacentral:rRNA from 1 species
AUGAAAUUGUAUAAGCGAUUUUUUUAUUUCCUUAGACUUAGACCGUGCAAGACAAGAAUUUUUUGCUAUUUACGAUUUCAUAUUCUUGUUACUAGAUGUUCUAUAGGAAUAAGAAGAAAUCGCAACUCCUUUGCGCUACACAUAAAAUUGGAUUUCGAAGGUCCAUUUUUUUUUCAGAAUCCUCGGUGA